CAUGGCUCAGGAUGAACGCUGGCGGCGUGCUUAACACAUGCAAGUCGAACGAUGACUUUUGUGCUUGCACAGAAUGAUUAGUGGCGAACGGGUGAGUAACACGUGAGUAACCUGCCCUUGACUCUGGGAUAAGCCUGGGAAACUGGGUCUAAUACCGGAUAUGCACCGUGGACCGCAUGGUUCUUGGUGGAAAGAUUUUUUGGUCAGGGAUGGACUCGCGGCCUAUCAGCUUGUUGGUGAGGUAAUGGCUCACCAAGGCGACGACGGGUAGCCGGCCUGAGAGGGUGACCGGCCACACUGGGACUGAGACACGGCCCAGACUCCUACGGGAGGCAGCAGUGGGGAAUAUUGCACAAUGGGCGAAAGCCUGAUGCAGCGACGCCGCGUGAGGGAUGACGGCCUUCGGGUUGUAAACCUCUUUCAGUAGGGAAGAAGCGAAAGUGACGGUACCUGCAGAAGAAGCGCCGGCUAACUACGUGCCAGCAGCCGCGGUAAUACGUAGGGCGCAAGCGUUAUCCGGAAUUAUUGGGCGUAAAGAGCUCGUAGGCGGUUUGUCGCGUCUAUCGUGAAAGUCCGAGGCUCAACCUCGGAUCUGCGGUGGGUACGGGCAGACUAGAGUGAUGUAGGGGAGACUGGAAUUCCUGGUGUAGCGGUGAAAUGCGCAGAUAUCAGGAGGAACACCGAUGGCGAAGGCAGGUCUCUGGGCAUUAACUGACGCUGAGGAGCGAAAGCAUGGGGAGCGAACAGGAUUAGAUACCCUGGUAGUCCAUGCCGUAAACGUUGGGCACUAGGUGUGGGGGACAUUCCACGUUUCCGCGCCGUAGCUAACGCAUUAAG
rnacentral:rRNA from 1 species